GUCCCUAAAUUAAAAUACAAAAAAAUAAAAGGCUGGGGAUGUGGCUCAGUGGUUAAGUACCCCUAAGUUCAAUCACCAGUACCAAAAAAAAGGACCCUGUAAUUCCUAAUGUCCCUCCAGAGUACCCUAUAUCUCUCCUUCUUUUUGCAGCAAAAGCUGAUAGACACAGGAAAACUAUUUGAGUCUUAGUUUGCCUUUGUAAAGAGUAAUUUGAAGUAGACCAUCCAAUAUUUGAUAAGAAAUAAACAUUUCCCCCCACCCCUGGUAUUUUCCUGUUACUUUACAGAAGCUAAGGGUUGAGAGUCCAGGAUUCUCCCAUUUCCACUCUUCUAAUCAGGAACAAAGGUCAAACACAGCCACUGGUGAUUACCCAUCUGGGGUGAAAAUUUCAGGCCAAAACAGCAGGGUUCGAGGAAGAGGGAUUACCCACUUACUAGAAAGCAUCCCAAUUCCUCCAGCAAUAUCCACAAAUUCUCCAACUGUGAGACCUCACUCUCACCUUACAUGUCCCAAAAAGAUGGGUAUAAAUCUUUCUCUUCUUUGUCUUAAUGAUGGUACUUUUUUCAACUUCUGGAAAAAUAACAGGCCCAACUUCCCUUCUGACUACAGUCGUAUUAAACACAUAAAUCACAUCAAUGAUAAAUGUCACUACUCUAAAGACUAUGUAAUUUGUAAGGAAACUCUGUUUCAUAGAUUAAAAAUAAUUGUGGUUGAAGA